rnacentral:rRNA from 1 species
GAUGAACGCUGGCGGCGUGCCUAAUACAUGCAAGUCGAGCGAACAGACGAGGAGCUUGCUCCUCUGACGUUAGCGGCGGACGGGUGAGUAACACGUGGAUAACCUACCUAUAAGACUGGGAUAACUUCGGGAAACCGGAGCUAAUACCGGAUAAUAUAUUGAACCGCAUGGUUCAAUAGUGAAAGACGGUUUUGCUGUCACUUAUAGAUGGAUCCGCGCCGCAUUAGCUAGUUGGUAAGGUAACGGCUUACCAAGGCAACUAUGCGUAGCCGACCUGAGAGGGUGAUCGGCCACACGGGAACUGAGACACGGUCCAGACUCCUACGGGAGGCAGCAGUAGGGAAUCUUCCGCAAUGGGCGAAAGCCUGACGGAGCAACGCCGCGUGAGUGAUGAAGGUCUUCGGAUCGUAAAACUCUGUUAUUAGGGAAGAACAAAUGUGUAAGUAACUAUGCACGUCUUGACGGUACCUAAUCAGAAAGCCACGGCUAACUACGUG